rnacentral:rRNA from 1 species
UGCGAAGCGAAGCAGUGAUGUGAAGCAAAUCGCACCAAAGCCGGUCCCAGUUCGGAUAAGAGGCUGAGACUCGCCUCUUUGAAGUCGGAAUCGCUAGUAAUCGCAGAUCAGCAUGUUGCGGUGAAUACGUUCCCGGGUCUUGUACACACCGCCCGUCAAACCAUGAGAGUCACCAACACCCGAAGUCCGCUUUGGCGGCCUAAGGUGGGGGAGAUGAUUGGGGUUAAGUCGUAACAAGGUAAC